UAGGGAAUCUUCCGCAAUGGACGCAAGUCUGACGGAGCAACGCCGCGUGAGUGAAGAAGGAUUUCGGUUCGUAAAACUCUGUUGUUAGAGAAGAACAGCGCAUAGAGUAACUGUUAUGCGUGUGACGGUAUCUAACCAGAAAGCCACGGCUAACUACGUGCCAGCAGCCGCGGUAAUACGUAGGUGGCAAGCGUUGUCCGGAUUUAUUGGGCGUAAAGCGAGCGCAGGCGGUCAAUUAAGUCUGAUGUGAAAGCCCCCGGCUCAACCGGGGAGGGUCAUUGGAAACUGGUUGACUUGAGUGCAGAAGAGGAGAGUGGAAUUCCAUGUGUAGCGGUGAAAUGCGUAGAUAUUUGGAGGAACACCAGUGGCGAAGGCGACUCUCUGGUCUGUAACUGACGCUGAGGCUCGAAAGCGUGGGUAGCAAACAGG
rnacentral:rRNA from 1 species